GAUGAACGCUGGCGGUGUGCUUAACACAUGCAAGUCGAACGAAGCAUUUGCGACAGAUUUUUUCGGAAUGAAGUUGCUUAUGACUGAGUGGCGGACGGGUGAGUAACGCGUGGGUAACCUGCCUUGUACUGGGGGAUAGCAGCUGGAAACGGCUGGUAAUACCGCAUAAGCGCACAAUGUUGCAUGACAUGGUGUGAAAAACUCCGGUGGUAUAAGAUGGACCCGCGUCUGAUUAGCUAGUUGGUGAGAUAACAGCCCACCAAGGCGACGAUCAGUAGCCGACCUGAGAGGGUGACCGGCCACAUUGGGACUGAGACACGGCCCAGACUCCUACGGGAGGCAGCAGUGGGGAAUAUUGCACAAUGGAGGAAACUCUGAUGCAGCGACGCCGCGUGAGUGAAGAAGUAAUUCGUUAUGUAAAGCUCUAUCAGCAGGGAAGAUAGUGACGGUACCUGACUAAGAAGCUCCGGCUAAAUACGUG
rnacentral:rRNA from 1 species